rnacentral:tRNA from 1 species
GGGGUUGUGGCUCAGUGAUAGAGCACUUGCCUAGCAUGUAUGAAGCCCUGGGUUCUAUUCUCAGCACCA